AGAGUUUGAUCCUGGCUCAGGACGAACGCUGGCGGCGCGCCUAACACAUGCAAGUCGAACGAGCGAGAGAGAGCUUGCUUUCUCAAGCGAGUGGCGAACGGGUGAGUAACGCGUGAGGAACCUGCCUCAAAGAGGGGGACAACAGUUGGAAACGACUGCUAAUACCGCAUAAGCGCACAAUACCGCAUGGUACCGUGUGAAAAACUCCGGUGGUAUGAGAUGGACCCGCGUCUGAUUAGCUAGUUGGUGGGGUAACAGCCUACCAAGGCGACGAUCAGUAGCCGACCUGAGAGGGUGACCGGCCACAUUGGGACUGAGACACGGCCCAAACUCCUACGGGAGGCAGCAGUGGGGAAUAUUGCACAAUGGGGGAAACCCUGAUGCAGCGACGCCGCGUGAGCGAAGAAGUAUUUCGGUAUGUAAAGCUCUAUCAGCAGGGAAGAAAAAAUGACGGUACCUGACUAAGAAGCUCCGGCUAACUACGUGCCAGCAGCCGCGGUAAUACGUAGGGAGCGAGCGUUAUCCGGAUUCAUUGGGCGUAAAGCGCGCGUAGGCGGCCCGUCAAGCGGGGUUUCAAAUCCAGGGGCUCAACCUCUGGCCGGACCCCGAACUGGCGGGCUCGAGUGCGGUAGAGGAAGGUGGAAUUCCCAGUGUAGCGGUGAAAUGCGCAGAUAUUGGGAAGAACACCGAUGGCGAAGGCAGCCUUCUGGGCCGCCACUGACGCUGAGGCGCGAAAGCUAGGGGAGCGAACAGGAUUAGAUACCCUGGUAGUCCUAGCCGUAAACGAUGGGCACUAGGUGUGGGGGAGCAUCUCCUCCGUGCCGCAGCCAACGCAUUAAGUGCCCCGCCUGGGGAGUACGGCCGCAAGGCUAAAACUCAAAGGAAUUGACGGGGGCCCGCACAAGCAGCGGAGCAUGUGGCUUAAUUCGAAGCAACGCGAAGAACCUUACCAAGUCUUGACAUCCUUCUGACCGGUACUUAACCGUAUCUUCUCUUCGGAGCAGGAGUGACAGGUGGUGCAUGGUUGUCGUCAGCUCGUGUCGUGAGAUGUUGGGUUAAGUCCCGCAACGAGCGCAACCCUUAUCUUUAGUAGCCAGCGGUUUGGCCGGGCACUCUAGAGAGACUGCCAGGGAUAACCUGGAGGAAGGCGGGGAUGACGUCAAAUCAUCAUGCCCCUUAUGACUUGGGCUACACACGUGCUACAAUGGCGUAAACAAAGGGAAGCAAAGCUGUGAAGCCGAGCAAAUCUCAAAAAUAACGUCUCAGUUCGGACUGUAGUCUGCAACCCGACUACACGAAGCUGGAAUCGCUAGUAAUCGCAGAUCAGAAUGCUGCGGUGAAUACGUUCCCGGGUCUUGCACACACCGCCCGUCA
rnacentral:rRNA from 1 species